CACAUUUACAAAUUUAAUUUAAUUUAAAAUGAAUCUGUACUUUGAUUUACUACAAUAAAAUAUAUUUUAGACGACGUUUCAUUCUAAUGUCUUCAAUAUUUGGCAUGUGCCGAUAUCAUGAUUAAGUGUCGCUAAUAAACAUACUUUUAUCAAAUACUGAUAAAAAUUUUUCGAUGCUAUACUAAAGUGUCGGUAUAUUUAUUCCGAUAUGUUUACUUAACGCUCAACGCUUUUACAAGCGUCGGGGUUAUUGUUGCCGAUGCUUUAAAGCGUCGCUAGUUAUUAUUUAAAGUGUCCUUAAGCACAUAAUUUGUUGUAUUGAAUGGUUAUUGGUGGCAUGAGUCUAUUUUUCAAUUGGUUUAUUUUUUAAAUUUGAUUUGUUUUUAUGUAUGUUUCUAAUUUAUUUAUAUCGUAAAUAUUUUUUUAUGCAUUCCAUAAUAGAAAUUUUUUUUUUCUAAUAUAUACCCACAGCUUUAAAAAUUAAAUUGAUUCCAACGUUUAAAUUAAAUCUUAAAUUUAGAUUUAAAUUUAUGAAUCAAAUUCAAAAUUCAAACAAUUGUUGAUUGAUAGGUGUUUUUAAAUCAUUCUAUUUCUCAAAUCUAAUUUAUUUUUAGUUAGCUAUUUUUUUUAUAGUGUGUAUGGAAUAUUUCUUUAUUAGGAUAAUUGUCUAUAUACCUCUCAAAAUUUCGAAAAUAUUUUAUUUACUCUUACUUUUUUUUUUCUUUCCAAUAUACCCCUCAUAUGUUCUUCCGUUAUUCUAAAAUACCCCUACAGUUACAACCUGUUAAGUUAACUUGGAUUAAACAUAAGUUAAAUAUUUACUAGAGUUAAAAAAAAAUAAAAUGCCUUUUUUGCCCUUAACUUAAAAGCAAAUAAGAAAAGCCGGUGAGAAUAGAAGGGUAUGUUUGAAAAGACCAAAAAUUAAAAUACUUUUUGUGACCCUAACUUAAGGGCAAAUAAGAAAAGUCGAUGAUAGUGAAAGAGUAUAAUUGAACAAGUAAAAUAAUAAUUUCAUACAGAUAACAGCUAUUGUUAACAGCUCAUUAACAGAACUUAACUUUAAGGGUGCGUUUACUUCGUGCUAUCUUUUUAAGAUUCGUAAUAAUCUAAUAGGAAUAAAAAAAUAUGAUAGUGUUCGACUAAACGCACUAAGUAAUUUAGUUGGUAAUACUGGAUUUUCUUGGAAAUGAAAUGCAUCCCAAAAUAUUAAUCUCAUUCUUUUGAGAGAGGGUGGAUAUCCUUAUAUUAAUGGAUUGGAGUAAUUAUAAUAUGGCUAAUAUCUUUCUUUCUCCCUACCUGCCGGCUAGUUGGUACUAUUUUCUUUACACUCUAACCCUAUAUCUCUCUCUAAACUUAUCUUUUUCUGCCUCUAAACUUCAACUCUUUUUCUCUCUCUAAAUUAAGCUAUUUCUCCCCCUCUUUUUCUAAAAUCUCAACUCUUUUAUUUUCUCUAACCUUGACUCUAUUUCUCUUCGUAUUUUUUUAAUUAUGCUCUCUCUUUCUAACAUAUAUUCUCUCUCUCUCUUUUUUAAAAAGAUGUUGAAAUUUUUUAUAGUAUUAUUUAAAAUUAAAUAAAUAAAUAAAUUAUAUUUUUUUUGUAAUUUUAAAUAAUAUGACUAAAUAAUAUGACCGUACGAAUCAAACACCGAAAUACUACAUUCUUAGUAAUAGGAUGAAUAGAAAUAAGAUUUUCGGAUAUCUUUUUAUUCCUAGUAAUCUUUCAUAGUGCGAACUAAACGCGCCCUUAGCCCCCGUUUGGUUCGGAGUUAAGGGGUGGAAUAACCGCUUAACUCCGAAGUUAUUCUCAAACACCCAAAUUGAGGGGUGGGGUUAGCUAACCCUACCCAAUCCCAGUACUCCAACCGAAUAAAACACUAGUUUACCCACUAUCCUUCUUGUCCCACCUAUUCCAACCAAACACUAUUUUGCCUAUACCUGAACUAAACCCAAUUCUUAACCAAACACAAAAUUACUCUAACCCCACCUUAACCCUAAACUUAACCCUAUCUCUUGAAUAACAAGUUUUUACUUAACCCUGAACCAAACGGUAGCUAAGGGUUAUAUUUGAAAUAGGUUGGAACUUAAAAAUGGUAUUUUCAAUAUUAGCCUUUUAAGAGGGGUAAAUUAGAAAGUCGAAAACUUUUUAGGGAUAUAUAAGCAAUUGCCCCUUCUUUAUUUCAUUUAGGAUUUUAUUUGUCAGCUAAAAUUUUUCUAUCUACAAUUUUCAUUCUCCAUAAGUCAUACCUUCUUCUAAUUUAACAAGCCUUUUUUGUCAAAUGAUUGCGUUAAAAUCAUUAGUUAUAAUGAUGAUUACUCAAUUCCUAAUUUAAUCAUUAGUAAUUAGUGAUAGACGCCUCACUGAAAUUUUAUCUGAAAAAUAAUUUCUCAUAAUGCACCCGUUUGGUUCCGGAUUAAGGGAUGGAAUAAGUCCAGGUAUAGAUAAAAUAGUGUUUGGUUGGAAUAGGCGGGAUAAGAAGGAUAGUGGAUAAAAUAGUGUUUUGUUUGGUUGGAGUAGUGGGGUGGGGUGGGGUGGGAUGGGGUUGGCUAAUCCCACCCCCCAAAUUAGAUGUUUGGGAAUAACUUCGGGAUUAAACCCAAUUCUCAACCAAACACAAAAUUACUCUAACCCCACCUUAACCCUGAACUUAACUCUAUUUCUCAAAUAACAAGCUUUUACUUAACCCCGAACCAGACGGUGGAGAAUAGCAGGACAUCUGCCCAUGAUAAAAUGUUUUAAUUUAAAAACUUCAGGUACCCUCCCUAUGGUUUAACACUUUCUCACUUUAGUACGCCGUGGUUUCAAGUGUAUCAAGUUAGUACCUGUGGUUUCGGACUUUCUCAGUUUAGUACCCCUGUGGUUUCAAGUCUAUCAAGUUAGUACCCUGUGGUUUCAUUUUUGUAUCAAGUUAGUACCUUGUGGUUUCAAUUUUCUCUUUUUAUUAUCUAUUUCGGGAUAUAUAAUUUAACAAAAUAUUAAACCACAUGGUACUAAAGUGAAAAAGUGCGAAACAACAGGGUACUAACUUGAUAACUUGAAACCACAUGGUACUAAAGUGAGAAGGUGCAAAACCACAGGGUACUAACUUGAUACACUUGAAACCACAGGAUACUAAAAUGAGAAAGUGCGAAACCACAUGA
rnacentral:lncRNA from 1 species